GACAGAGGAGCCAAGCGUUGUCCGGACUGACUGGGCGUAAAGCGCCCGCAGGCGGCCGUGCACGUGGGGUGUGAAAGCUCGCGGCUUAACUGCGAGAGGCCAUCCCAUACGGCGCGGCUCGAGCCGUCCAGAGGCCGGUGGAAUUGCCGGUGUAGUGGUGAAAUGCGCAGAUAUCGGGAGGAACACCGGUGGCGAAGGCGGUUCUCUGGGCCUUACCUGACACUGAGGAGCGAAAGCGUGGGGAGCGAACAGG
rnacentral:rRNA from 1 species